AGCAGCCGCGGUAAUUCCAGCUCCAAUAGCGUAUAUUAGAGUUGUUGCAGUUAAAAAGCUCGUAGUUGAAUUUCGGGAUCAAUACGUCGGUCGUGCUUAGGUACGUACUGGCGUAAUUGAUUUCUCCCUUCUGACGAACCAUGAUGUCAUUAACUUGGUGUCAUGGGAAAUCAGGACUGUUACUUUGAAAAAAUUGAGUGUUUAAAGCAGGCUCACGCUUGAAUACAUUAGCAUGGAAUAAUGAAAUAGGACGUUCGAUCCUAUUUUGUUGGUUUUUAGGAUCAACGUAAUGAUUAAUAGGGAUAGUUGGGGGCAUUAGUAUUCAAUUGUCAGAGGUGAAAUUCUUGGAUUUAUUGAAGACUAACUACUGCGAAAGCAUUUGCCAAGGAUGUUUUCA
rnacentral:rRNA from 1 species